AUCCAGCUGACGAGCUCCCGAAUAAGACGAAACGCGCGUCAAACUGGAU
rnacentral:hammerhead_ribozyme from 1 species